AACGAACGCUGGCGGCAUGCCUAACACAUGCAAGUCGAACGAGACCUUCGGGUCUAGUGGCGCACGGGUGCGUAACGCGUGGGAACCUGCCUUUAGGUUCGGAAUAACUCAGAGAAAUUUGAGCUAAUACCGGAUGAUGUCUUCGGACCAAAGAUUUAUCGCCUUUAGAUGGGCCCGCGUAAGAUUAGCUAGUUGGUGGGGUAAAGCCUACCAAGGCGACGAUCUUUAGCUGGUCUGAGAGGAUGAUCAGCCACACUGGGACUGAGACACGGCCCAGACUCCUACGGGAGGCAGCAGUGGGGAAUAUUGGACAAUGGGCGAAAGCCUGAUCC
rnacentral:rRNA from 1 species